rnacentral:rRNA from 1 species
CCCUUAGAUGUUCUGGGCCGCACGCGCGCUACACUGACGAAUGCAACGAGCUUAUAACCUUGGCCGAAAGGUCUGGGUAAUCUCCAAAUUUCGUCGUGAUGGGGAUAGAUUAUUGCAAUUAUUAAUCUUCAACGAGGAAUGCCUAGUAAGCGCAAGUCAUCAGCUUGCGUUGAUUACGUCCCUGCCCUUUGUACACACCGCCCGUCGCUACUACCGAUUGAAUGAUUUAGUGAGGACUUCGGACUGGGACCGAUGCGGCUUUCGGGCUGCGUCGGUAUUCUGGAAAGAUGUCCAAACUGUNUNAUUUAGNGGAAGUAAAANUCGUANCA